CCAUCGGUGGUUCAGUGGUAGAAUGCUCGCCUGCCACGCGGGUGCCCCGGGUUCGAUUCCCGGCCGAUGCU
rnacentral:tRNA from 1 species